UUCGUAGGUGGUUUAUUAAGUCUGGUGUUAAAUGCAGAGGCUCAACUUCUGUUCGGCACUGGAUACUGGUAGACUUGAAUGCGGUAGAGGUAAAGGGAAUUCCUGGUGUAGCGGUGAAAUGCGUAGAUAUCAGGAGGAACAUCGGUGGCGAAAGCGCUUUACUGGGCCGUAAUUGACACUGAGGAACGAAAGCCAGGGUAGCAAAUG
rnacentral:rRNA from 1 species